CCUACGGGGGGCAGCAGUGGGGGAUAUUGCACAAUGGGGGAAACCCUGAUGCAGCGACGCCGCGUGUAGGAAGACGGUCCUCUGGAUUGUAAACUACUGUCCCCAGGGACGAAGAUGACGGUACCUGGGGAGGAAGCUCCGGCUAACUACGUGCCUGCAGCCGCGGUAAUACGUAGGGAGCGAGCGUUGUCCGGAAUUACGGGGUGUAAAGGGAGCGUAGGCGGGGAUGCAAGUUGGGUGUUAAAUCUACCGGCUCAACUGGUAGUCGCACUCAAAACUGCAGCUCUUGAGGGAAGUAGAGGCAGGCGGAAUGCCUAGUGUAGCGGUGAAAUGCGUAGAUAUUAGGAGGAACACCAGUGGCGAAGGCGGCCUGCUGGGCUUUUACUGACGCUGAGGCUCGAAAGUGUGGGGAGCGAACAGGAUUAGAUACCCCAGUAGUC
rnacentral:rRNA from 1 species